AUUCUUUAACAAAGCCAUCUUCAUUUUUUUUACAAUUACUGUGAAAAAUUCUUCCAAAUUGAUCUACACAUCAAAUUGAGCAUUUCCAAGAAUACUACUUGGAUUCCUAAACUGCAGUCAGGGUGGUCUUGGAAGUCGACGAAACCCACCAAGAGCAAGAAUAACAAAUUGAAAUUAACCAUUAAUGUAAUUAAUAAUGUUACUCCAUUGAUAGUACGGACCAACUCCCAUAAUCUUUACCUUUAGCCGUCCGACUACACUCUUUGCAUACCAAUGAUGCGUAGCUAAGAUUUUACCAUUAGCGCGUUUAAAUACUUUGUGGAGGAGGUUUACGUUUAAUCUUGCAAAUUGGGUUUCAAGAUCAGAAUCGAAAUUAUUAAUUUGUUUAUCUUGAUCUUUGAUUUUUUUAUUUUUUUGUUUUUUUGGCAGUGGGUUGUUUAGUGGAGUGUUUAAAUUGUUUGGCAGUCGAUUUUGGGUGUGGGUUUAGGGGUGGCUAUGGGUUUUGUGGGCGGUCGCAUAGUGUUCGGUGGGUUGGGGGUGGCUUAGUGGUGUGGUGGAGGACUUGUUGGUCAGUGGUUCAGGGGUGGUCAUUGGGUGUUUUUUUUUUUCACUAUGUAUUGAUUAAAGCUGAUAAAUUUUAAUUAAAUUUUUUUAAUUAAUUAAGUUAUAACUAGUCAGGAUAGAAACCUGUACAAUUAACUUAUUAAAUAGGUUACCAUUAGGUCGCAAUAGGUCAUGGAUCAUUUUAAGAAGAUAAAUGUAAAAGGUGUGAUUAUUUGUAGUUAAUCUAAAUGUCGAACCUAUUUAAGAAAACAGUGAAAAGAUUGGAAUUAUUCUCAUCAAUUUUUCCAAUAAAAAAGUAGCGCACCUUCCGUUUUUUUAAAAGUCAAUUAAUUAAUUCCCCUUAAGUUAAAACAAAAAGAUUAUCUUUAGAAAAAAAAAGUCAGAGUCGCAUCUGGCCGCCCAUAAAGAAAAAGGACACGUGGAAGGCAAAGAAAAAAAGCUUAUCUAAAAAAAUCCAACUCACCGACUUUCGGAAGUCGCGUGAAAAUUCCAGAAAGCGCGUCAAAUAUAGAAACCUUAACCGCCUCAUCCACCUAUAAAUAACCCCCAAUCCUCCUCUUCUUCCUUGUCUUUUUAAUGCUUUGUAUUUUGCUUCGUCUUCUGCUUUUGUCUUUCUUCGCUUUUUUUUCCUAUGUCGCUGUUUUUGCGUUUAUCGUCUUGCAUAAUUUGUGAUCGGGUUUCUGUUUAAUUCAUUCAAUUGGUUUGAUGAUUUUAGGGUUUUGAUCGUUUUCUUUGUUGAUUGUUGCUGCUUCUUUUGGAUUGAUCUGUUUAAUAUUUGCGGGAUUUGUGAUCGUUUGGUUGAUGAUUCAAUUGCGCUGAAGAACUAGGUGUUUGAUUCGAUUCAAUUUAAUUUUUAUAUCAAUUUCUGCGAAUAUCUACGAAUUAGGUCGUUUCUUUUCUAUGAUUAUCAUCCUGCAGUUGCUUCUUGGCGGUUGAAUUAUCGAUGAUCAAGUAGGUUAUUUUGUUGAUGAUUUCAUUGCCGAAUUCCGUCAAAGGUUUGCGCUUAUUUUGAUGCUUGAUCAGGAAUGCUGAUUGGUUACCAAAUUUUUCGAAUUAGGGUUUUUGGUUUGAUUUUUGUGGAGCAUAUGCAAUUGCUUAUUGGAAUUCGAGACCACGGUGUUUAAUUAGGAUGGUGGUUGAUUUCGUUUCCAAAAAUCAUCAUAAAGGUUUGCGCUAAUCGAUGCUUGAUCAGUUGAGUUGGUUGAUUACCAAAUAUUUCGAAUUAGGUAUUUUUUUGGGUUUGAUUUUUGUUGAGCAUGCAGUUGCUUAUACGCUGUUGAACAAUCAGUGAUCAAGUCGCCUGAAUACAAAAGGUUUGGGCUACCAAUUUUUUCGAAUUUGAUUAUUGACGGUUGAAUUAUUGUUGAUUUCGUUUCCGAAUUUCAUCAGAAAGGUUUGCAAGAUUGGUGUUUUAAUUUCUCUAGAGCUGUUUUGCUUUGCCGUUUAGACUGUUGCUGCGCUGUUUCUUGUCGCAUAAUAUUUUGCAGAUUUUCGGACAGCUUAAUUUUGCAGUUUUUGGGUCAAUCAAGCUGUCGCUUUGAAAUACUACCUAUUAUCACCAAAAAAAUCCACAAACCUAUCUUAACCAAAAUAAAUUGGUUAAACUAUUUAGGUAACAAAUUUGAUUAUGGACUAGUUGGACUUGAUAUUAAUUAAAUUAUUUGAUUAUUGAUCACUGAUUAACUUUUAAGAGUAUCAUUAUUGCUUAGUGACUAAUUUGGUUAUCUAGCUGAUACCGAGACUUACAAGGAAAAAAUUACAUUGCGAUGAGGAUUCAAUGGUUGGGUAUACGAUUGAGGUUUGAUUUAUUGUUGGAAUUUUUUUGUCUUGCCUUGCUUGUUUGCUGUUAAAGUAUUAGUGAUCAAAUAGGUUGCUGUUAUUUGCUUAAAGGUAUGCUUAUUGUUGGAGAUCUCUAUUUGUUUGGUGAUGUGGUUGCUUCUUGACAGUUGAAUUAUUGGUGAUCAAGUUGUUGUAAUACUCUUGAAAGGUUUGUGCUAAUUUGGUGUCAUGAUUUGCUUAAAGGUUUUGACUUCUUUACUUUGCUUCAUGUUGCUUUAGCUCUUGCAGAUGUUUUGUGUAUGUUAAUGCUUAGUGUUUGAAUCGUCUAGUAGGUUAUUUGUUGAUUUCAUUGGCGAAUUUCUUCGAAGGUUUGUGCUUAUUGAUGAUUGAUCAGGAGUGCUGAUGGGUAACCAAUUUUUUUCAAUUAGGGUUCUUUGGUUUGAUAUUUGUAGAGCAUGCAGUUGUUAUUGGAAGGUGAAUAAUGCUGUUAGUUGAUUUCGUUGAUCAUUGAAGAGGUUUGCCUAUUUGAUAUGCUUGAUCAUUUGAGUUGAUUGAUUACCAAUUUUUUAGAAUUCGGUUUUUUGUUUGGUUUGAUUUUUGUUGAGCAUGCAGUUGCUUAUUGGCUGUUGACUAAUCGGUGAUCAAGUUGGCCGAAUAUAAAGGUUUUGCGCUAUUUGUUGCUUGAAGUUGAGUUGAUUGAUUACUAAAUUUUUCCAAUUAGGGUAUUUUUUGGUUUGAUUCUUGUUGAGCAUGCAGCAGUUUGUUAUCUGUUGAAUAAUUGGUGAUCAAGUUGGCUGAAUAAAAAGGUUUGGGUUAAUAGAGGUUUGAUCUAUUGCGCUGAUUGAUUAUAAAAGUCUUCGAAUUUAGGGUUUUUGGUUUGAUUUUUGAUUAUCAGAAAGGCGUGCAGGAUUGGUGUUUGAUCUCUAGAGCUGUUUUGAUUUGACGUUUUGUCUGUUGCUGCACUGUUCUUUGUUACAUAAAAAUGUUGCAGAGUUUUGGGCAGCUACUUUUGCAGUUUUUGGACAAUCAAGCUGUGAAUAUUACCAGUUACAUGAAAAAUUAUCCACAAACCUAUCUUAACCAAAAAAAAUUGGGUAAACGUAUAAAUUCUAUAUAACUAAUCUGUUUUUGUAGUUGUUUGACUUGGUAUUAAUUAAUUUCUGAUUAGUGAUUAAUUUUUACGAAUAUUAUUAUUGUUAGUGGUGCUUUUUAGUGACUAAAAUGUCUAACUACCCGGACACCAGAACUUGCAAAGAAAAAAUUGCCUUGUGGUGAGGAGAUGGGUAUAUGAUUGAAGUUUGAGGUUUGAAUUCUUUAUAAUCAGUUGAUUUAUUGGUGGAAUUUCCUUUGCCUUGACUUGCUUCUUUGCUGUUAAGUUAUUGGUGAUCAAGUGGGUUAUUUGCUAAAAGGUUUGCUUAUUACUGGAUAUUUCUUUUUAUAUGGUCAUGUGGCUAUUUCUUGGCAGUUGAAUUAUUGAUCAUCAAGUUGGUGUUGUAAUUUUCUUUAAGGUUUGUGCUGAUUUGGUUUCAAGAUUUGCUCAAAGGUUUUGGCUUCUUUAUUCUGCCUGUAGGCGCUUUAGCUCUUGCAGAUGUUUUGUGUAUGUUUAUGCUUAAUUGCUUUUGGCCACCCAAAAUCUUGUGCAUCUACGCAUGUCAUGAUGAAGUGAUGGGCCUGAUUGUGUACAGUAGUAGGGUGUCAUUGUAUACUUGUAGAUUGAUUACUCGUUGAACAUUUGAUGAUGGUGUGAUUGAGGUUCUUUGGUCCCUUAAGUUUGGAUGUGGGACUCUGAUGUUUGUCAACUUCAGUCUUCUGAUGGUUUAAUUGGAAUUCUGUUUGCAGUAUGCUGUUGCUGUUAUGUCUUCCAUUCUUGUUUGAUCAUGGACCUAAUUUGCUGCUUCUUAUGCAUUGGUCAGUAUAAUAUCUGUGGAAGUCGUGAUCUUUCAAAUUUAAUUCCGCCGAAGAAUUUGGGGUUUGAUUUGUUUGUAUGUCUGAUAAUUAACAUCCAGUUGCUUCUUGGUGUUUGAAUCAUCAGUGAUCCAGUAUGUUUUUUUGUUGAUUUCGUUGCCAAAUUUUGUCAAAGGUUUGCCCUGAUUGAUGCUUGAUCAGGAGUGCUUUUGGGUAACCAUUUUUUUUGAAUUAGGGUUUUUUGGUUUGAUUUUGUAGAGCAUGUUUAUUGGAAGUUGAAUAAUCGUUAUUCAAGUAGGCUGUUUGUUGAUUUCGCUGAUUAUCAAAGAGGUUUGUGCUAUUUGACGCUUGAUCAUUUGAGCUGAUUGAAUACCAAUUUUUUCGAAUUAGGUUUUUUGUUUGGUUUGAUUUGUGUUGAGCAUGCAGCUGCAUAUUGGCUGUUGAAUAAUCGGUGAUCAAGUUGGCUCUAUAUAUAGGUUUUGCGCUAUUUGAUGCUUGCUCAGUUUAGUUAAUUGAUUAACAAAUUUUUUCGAAUUAGGGUGUCUUUUGGUUUGAUUCUUGUUGAGCUUGCAGUUGCUUAUUAGCGGUUGAUUAAUCGGGUGAUCAAGUUGGCUGAAUAAAAACGUUUAAGUUAAUUGAGGUUUGGCGCUGAUUGAUUAAAUAUUUCUUCGAAUUUAAGGUUUUUGGUUUAAUUUUUGAAGUUUGGCAUGACGAAGAUGUUCAGAAAGGUUUGCUAGAUUGGUGUUUGAGCUCUAGAGCGGUUUUGAUUUUCCGUUUUGACUAUUGCUGUGUUGUCUCUUGUCGCAUAGAAUUUUGCAGUUUUUCGGAUGAUCAAGCUGUUGCUGUGAAAGACGAUUACCAAGGAUUACCCUCAAACCUUUAUUAACCAAAAAAAUUGGGUAAAAGUUUAAAGUAUUAUAUAACAAAUUUGAUUAUGAAGUAGUUGGACUUUGUAAUAAUUUGUUAUUGAUUAGUGAUUUAAUUGUUAGGACUUUAUUAUUGCUUAGUGCUUUUCAGUGACUAAUUUGGUUGAUUACCUGAUAACUGAAUUAUACAAAGAAAAUUUUUCAUUGCGCCGAUGAGGAGUGAAUGGUUGGGUAUUUGAUUGGAGUUUGAGGUUUGUAAUCUUCAUUGUUAAUUGUUUAUUGUUGGAAUUUUCUUUGUCUCGACUUGCUUCUUUGCGGUUAAAAUAUUAGUGAUCAAGUUCGUUGUUGCGAUAUGCUCAAUUGUUUGCUUAUUGUUGGCAAUUUUGUUCUGUUUGGUCAUGUAGUUGCUUCUUGGCGGUUGACUUAUUGGUGAUCAAGUUUGUGUUGCGAUUUGGUUAGAGGUUUGCGCUAUCAUAUUUUGAUACUUUGUUUUCAGUUUUUAUUUUUUUUUGUCUCGUCUUAUUCCUGUUUGAUCAUAGAGCUAAUUUGCUACAUUUGUGAGGCUGAAUACUGUAAAUGACUUUUGAAUGUACUUUGGAAGUUAAGAUGUUGGUUCUAAUUUGGAUGGUGUGAUGUUUGCAUCUCAUAAUUGCAUUCCUUCUGCUGGUAUUGGGUUUAUUUCUUGAUGCUUAUAUGGAAUCUUUAUUUGUUGAUUUUUGUGUCAGUUGUUUCUUCUAUGAAGCAUUUGGUUUUAAGGUGGUGUAGUGCAUUGCAGGUAUGUAAGUGCUAUCCAGGUAGUGCUUCUCCUAAGAUUUUUUUGUUGUUUGUUAUUUACUUAAAAUCAAGUCAUGGAAUCUCUUGGUCCAUUAUACCAGCGACCACAUGGCCACAAAAAUUGUACUUCAAACUUCUGAGACAGGCUAAAGGAACCUUUUUCUUACGUUAUUGUCUUCUUUAGGUCAUUUAUUUAUUACGGGGUAAUGUUUGAGUUGUUAUUUUGUUGUGUAUAUAGAUAUCACCUCCGUGUUGCAUGCUUGCUGGAGAUUACAAUGAUUCGUUUCUACUGUGAGCUUUCUCUGCAGCUAGUAUGGCAAUAGGAAAAUUCAUUUGUUAAGUAUUUCUUUUUUGUGAGUUGAUUAGUUUCAGCUUUUCCUGCUUGUGGUGUGAAGCAUUUGGCAGUUCUUAGUGAUGGUUGGUAAGAGAAGUUUUAAGGUGUAGACUGUAGAAGCAGUUUCUUAGCCUGCUAAUGUCCUCGUGACUCCUGGUAUGCUUCAUGAAUUACUCAUUUUUUUAAAUGUUGAUGAAGGUAUGUGAUAGUUUGUGGCAGACUAAAGAAUUUUAUCACUGAAAAUUUUGGUAUGUUUCAUUUAAUUGUUUGCUUGAGUCGUUUAUUAUUUUUUUGUAUGUUUUUAAUUGCAUUGUUCUAUGUAGUUCUAGAGUUGAUAACUUGCAACUGGAGAACUUUCUGGUUUGUUUUUCUUGCAGACACUGCACUAUUUGGUAGAAUUGAUGGUUUGAUACACUUUACGAAAGCAGUCAGGUUUUGCUUGUGCUUUGAUGGUUUUAAGAUGUGUGGUAUUUUGCAUCUCAGAAGUGCCUCUGCCGUUUGCUUGUGAUUACACAGAUUGAUUUCUACUCAUUCCAAGUGAAGUGGUAUUGGAUUUAUUUCUUGAAUGGUCACAUUGUGUUGGCACACUUUUUUUUUUUGUUUUGUUGGUUUUUGUGUCAAUUUCUAACUUCGGCAUUCUGAUGUGGCGAUAUGCGCUUAUUGUCUAUCUUUGUUUUAACUUACGUGGUAUUAGCUUGUAUUGUGAAGCAUUAGGUGUAAGUUGAAGUUGUGCAGUGCACUGCAGAUUUAGUGUUGUUCAGGUAGACUCCUCCUUUUGAAGGCGGUAGUGUUAUUCCUACUAUCUUACUAACUGAUGUUCGUGGUACUCGAUGACUUUUGGCUUGCUCUAAAUUUAUUUUUUUCCUUUUUUUUUGGGGAGGGGGGGGGGGGUUAUAUGUUAUUGGUUUGGGGACCUCAUGACACAUUUGGUUGAUAUAUUUUUGUUUUUUAAUUUUAAUUUAAUUUUUGUUAUGUGUUUUGUUUGUAAUUGGUUUGUUGUGAAGCAUUUGGCUGUACUCAUAGUCGGUGAUGGUUGAUUAUAGGUGUCAAGUGUAGAGGUAGUUACUUAUCUUGAUGCCUUUUCUUUAGUCCUUGACUCCUUGUAUUCUACAUAGAUUUGCUUGGCUUACAUAUUAUUAGUGUUUUGUAUACCUAUAUACAUAGGUGUGUGAUAGUUUAUGUCCAACUGAAGAUUUUUAUGUUAAUAAAUUUUCCUGUUUGCCCUUUUUUUGUAUGUGUGUGUUUUAAUAAAUGCAGAGUUUUGUGGUUUGUUUCUAUUGCAGAUACCACACUUUUUGGUAGAAUUUGAUGGUGUUUUACUUUUUUGU